GACGAACGCUGGCGGCGUGCUUAACACAUGCAAGUCGAACGGAAAGGCCCUGCUUGCAGGGUGCUCGAGUGGCGAACGGGUGAGUAACACGUGGGUGCUCUGCCCCUUACUUUGGGAUAAGCCUGGGAAACUGGGUCUAAUACUGGAAAGGACCAUGCUGUAGGUGGUGUGGUGGGAAGAUCAGUUUCGGUAAGGGAUGAGCUCGCGGCCUAUCAGCUUGUUGGUGGGGUAAUGGCGUACCAAGGCGUCGACGGGUAGCCGGCCUGAGAGUGUGGACGGCCACAUUGGAACUGAGAUACGGGCCGGACUCCUACAGGAGGCAGCAGUGGGGAAUAUUGCACAAUGGGCGAAAGCGUGAUGCAGCGACGCCGCGUGGGGGAUGACGGCCUUCGUGUUGUAAGCUCCUUUCAGCCAUGACGAAGCCCUUGUGGUGACGGUAGUGGUAGAAGAAGCACCGGCUAACUACGU
rnacentral:rRNA from 1 species